GCCGGGUGUGGUGGCGCGCACCUGUAAUCCCAACUACUAAGGAGGCUGAGGCAGGGGAAUCACUUGAACUUGGGAGGUGGAUGUUGCAGUUAAGCCGAGAUCGCACCACUGCACUCCAGCCUGGGUGACAUAGUGAGACCCUGUCUCCC
rnacentral:SRP_RNA from 1 species